UACGUAGGGUGCAAGCGUUAAUCGGAAUUACUGGGCGUAAAGCGUACGCAGGCGGCUUUGCAAGACAGGUGUGAAAUCCCCGGGCCUAACCUGGGAACUGCAUUUGUGACUGCAUAGCUAGAGUCUGUCAGAGGGGGGUGGAAUUCCACGUGUAGCAGUGAAAUGCGUAGAUAUCAGGAGGAACACCUGUGGCGAAAGCGCGUAACUGGGGCAUAACUGACGCUGAGGAACGAAAGCCAGGGUAUCCAAAGGG
rnacentral:rRNA from 1 species